rnacentral:rRNA from 1 species
AUUGAACGCUGGCGGCAUGCCUUACACAUGCAAGUCGAACGGCAGCACGGGAGCAAUCCUGGUGGCGAGUGGCGAACGGGUGAGUAAUAUAUCGGAACGUGCCCAGUCGUGGGGGAUAACGCAGCGAAAGCUGUGCUAAUACCGCAUACGAUCUAAGGAUGAAAGCGGGGGAUCGCAAGACCUCGCGCGAUUGGAGCGGCCGAUAUCAGAUUAGCUAGUUGGUGGGGUAAAGGCCCACCAAGGCGACGAUCUGUAGCUGGUCUGAGAGGACGACCAGCCACACUGGAACUGAGACACGGUCCAGACUCCUACGGGAGGCAGCAGUGGGGAAUUUUGGACAAUGGGUGCAAGCCUGAUCCAGCAAUGCCGCGUGCAGGAUGAAGGCCUUCGGGUUGUAAACUGCUUUUGUACGGAACGAAACGGCCCUUUCUAAUACAGGGGGCUAAUGACGGUACCGUAAGAAUAAGCACCGGCUAACUACGUGCCAGCAGCCGCGGUAA